rnacentral:tRNA from 1 species
GGGAAUGUAGCUCAGUGGUAGAGUGCUUGCCUAGUAUGCAUGAAGCACUUGGUUCAAUCCCCAGUUCUG